ACUUUUCUGCAUUGUGGACAGACAACCUAUAUCUCUUUGGGUAGAUUUACACAGGGAUAUAGAUAUGACCCGAAACAGUGAAAGAAUCAUUGAAAUAAUGGACAAAUGUUUUUCAGAGGGUGACAAGAUGGCCCCGGAAGACAUGCUGUUUUCCUACAGAGGUAUUUUAUACCCAGCUACAAUUAGCAGCCCACAGACUUUGGAAGCUCUGAAAUCCUUUGAAGCCAGGAGCGAUGAUGUGAUUCUAGUAGGUUAUCCUAAAUCAGGAACCAAUUGGCUUGAACAAAUGGUGAAGGAGUUGGCAGAUGCCAAAUAUACAGAAGAGGAAAUGAAAGAGAGAAUAAAUGCUGAAAAGAAGCUAGAGACAUUUCAGCGUCUAGAAUUUGGGGAUCCUGGGAUAUAUGAGAGGAUGAAGCAGCUUCCUUCCAGAAGAAUUAUAGUAACCCAUCUGAGACCUGAUAUCCUGCCUCCAUCCAUUUUCCAAAGCAAGGCUAAGAUCCUUGUGUUAGUUCGGAACCCCAAGGACACGGCUGUCUCCUAUUACCACUUCUGCAACAACCUACCAAUGAUGCCGUCCUUCGCCUCCUGGGAUGAGUACUUUGCGGAUUUCAUGAAUGGAAAAUUGGCCUGGGGAUCCUACUUUGACCACCUAGUGGAAUGGAACAAAUACAUUAACAAUGAGAGGAUCAUGACAAUAAGCUAUGAGGAACUCAAAGAGGACCCGAUUCUGGGGAUGAAAAAGAUUGCUUCCUUCUUUGGAUUUUCUCUGUGUGAGGAAGAUUUUUCCAGAAUUGCCAAGAAGACAAGUUUCAAAGCUAUGAAAGAGAAAUCCAGUGAAACUCAUGGAAAGUUUGGGGACAUCCUCUUCCGUAAAGGGGUUGUUGGAAACUGGAGAGACGUCUUCUCUAAAGCUCAGAAUGAGGAAAUGUACCAGAAAUUUCAAGAUUCCCUAGGAGGAACAAAGAUGGCAGCAAAGAUAAAAUAUGAUGUGUACUGCAAGGCCUGAAAAUAAGCAGAUGAAUAGCAUGACAGCGAGUCAUGUUCCAAAGGUGAUUCUCCAAAGGCGGAUAUUCCCCAUUUUUCCUUCCCACAAGAGAAGAGAGAAACCCCUCUGAGAACUACCUGGUACCUCCAAGAAUUUGACAGACGUCAUGCAGAGACAUCAUGGCAUCAGUCUGGUGGCAUCCCUGUCUCUGCUUCUUGGCCUGAAAUGAUGAAUGAGGCCCCUGCAGGUCUUGGUGAGACAGAGGGAUCAACGCAGAGCCUCUCCUCUGGCACAGAGUGGACUUGACAUGGAUAUAUGGUGUGGGUCUGAACCACCAAAUGUCUGUGUACAGGUAGAAUAUGUUAGUCUGGGUUUAGAUCCAUCAUAGCUGCCACGGUAUUGGCAGGUCAGAAAGACCUUUGACACUUCGGCAAACUUCACACAUUGGUACGGCAAAGGGUGGAACUUCUCAAGCUCAAAGAGCCAUGAACUAUUAAGUAACAAACAGCUAUAUGCUUUUUGGAGCGUUUUGCUCCUUUUGGACUCUCUUGGAAGGUAAGUGGCAAGUAAGAAGAACCACGACAUUCAAAUGGGAGGACUGAAGGAAAUAAGACGCUUGAUGACCCUAAGCUAAACUAGCUAAACUAUGAGAAUGGCAUUUAUUUGACAAUAAAUAUGCUUAUUCUACAUAGGUAUGUUCUCCACACCCUCCUUGCUGAUGUUGAUGUCCUUGCUACAUCUGUGCAGAAUGUCACAACCUUGUCUCGUCACCCUUGUCACAACCAGUCUCGUAGGAAAUCACAAAAGCCAAGGAUGUGUCUGGCAAAUGGAAUUCAGUUCCUUAAAAGAGGGAUUCCUCUGUUAUAUUCCUAAGUAGAUUUACCAGCAGAACUCUUACACACUGAAGUAAGAUUAAAUACUGAGCAAACAGAAACUACAAAUGUAAUUAACAAAACUGGGAAAUUCUUAAGUCCCUGUCAAAGUACUGACUGUCCCUGCACAGCUCCUCGGGACUACCCCUACUCUGCCCAUGGUCCAGUGCUCCAUGCCAACCCCUGCUCCAGGCUCUCAGCCCCUGCUCCAGUGAUGGUGCAGCAGGGUAAGGCUUCAGCUCAUCACAGUCUGCCCUGCCUAGUCACUGGCCCUGCCAAGCUGGACCCAUCCACAGACCCACAUCCUGGCCAAUCCUCAGCCCAUCACCUUCCCCAGGAGAGUGUCCAAUGCCUGGGCUGGGGCUGCCCAAGUGCAGGCUGCUGUGCACCUGGCUGGACAGUGGGAUGUGCUCUGGCUGCUAUGCCCUGCAUCCCCUGUUGACAGGGAUAAUGGGAAGUGAUGCAAAUUCAUCUCUGAAGGGCCACUCAAAGUCUGCUUCCCAGGCAGAUUUUCUAAACGUGUGUGCAAGAGCUGCACUUGUUAAAAAGAUCUGCAUGGAGAGGUAUGUUUGUUUGAACCUGAUGAUUCUGUGCUUGUUAAGUUUCCAUUUCCAGAAGAGAAGGACUUUUUCUUAUUCUGGGCUUCCAUGGAUGAAAAGAGGCAAGCGACCAUGACCUGUAAUUUUUUGAACUAGCAACAUUUUUACCUGUUACAUAGUACAGACCCUAUACAAUUUACUAUAUGGUGAUAGCAGAAGCUAUCUAAACAACAGAAAACACUGUGUAAUCUCAAUGUCUGCAAGGAGUUGAACAAGGAGUUAAAGAAGGGAACAAGCCUGAUAAGAAAUGGAAAAAAAUUACUGAAAUAUUCAAAAGGCAUUUAUUAAGACUAAGAGGUGACCUCUUAAGGUCUGUUGGUUUAGUUUUUUAUUCUGCAAAGACUUUUUGCAGCCUAAGCACCCUUAGCAGUCCAGAAACUUUGGAAACUUUGAAGUUCUUGUAAACCAGAAGUGAUGAUGUGAUUCUCACCAGCUUUCCUAAAAUGUAUUUCUUUCUUGCUUGAUGAUAUGUCCAUUGCUGCAGUACAGAAUUGUGUGGCUGCACAUAACAGAGCAGCAAUGCCCAUGAUGAAUUCAGAUUUCUCUGGAGGAGCAGGAACAGGGGUUGCUCCCUGGAGGAAGUCAGAGGAUGCUUCCAUAGGCAUUCUUUAUUGCAGGAUGUAGAUAAUUUCUUGGUGCUGGGUGGAGCUACAGGCUCACCUGCUGCCCAGGCUCUUGGACCCUUUUCCUCUCUCCAUGCCUUUCAGUCCCAGCAUUUGGGUUUACUGGUUACCCUCACAUUUUCUCCAAAUCACUUAAAGAAACAACAGGCCAUUUGAGGAAAAAAAAAAAAAAAAAAAGGAGUUGAUAUUUCAUCUAGAAAACAUCUCUGGAAUACAUAAUACAUCUCCUGAAAUGUUCCACUUGAAUUCUUUUUUUUUUUUUUUUUAAACAGAAAAUAUAUAAAAUUGUCUUACGUGAAUAUCGUAGGCACGUAGGCAAUUUAGUGAUAAUUAGAUGUCUGAGUUGUAGCAUCUCAAAUUUCCAACCAGUCUUUAAAAAAAAUGUGUUAGAAAAUGUUUUAUAUGACUUAUUUUAAAUAUAAUAUGCUCAGGAUUCAACUCACUUAGAUAAUGUAGUGGUGAAAUAUGAGUAAGUUGAGAGGGGUGCAGCCAAACUUUCAGGUCUACAGAGGGAAAGGACUUUUGGCUUCCAAACAACAUUUUUCACAGAAAUUAUUGCAAUAUGACUUGGGGAGAUGAGCUCAGACUCUCUUGAUGAUUAAAAGGCUGAAACUGGAUUUGGUUGUUAAGAGACAAGGUAAUGGCUGCACAGAAACUCUUCUGAGAACUAGUGAAAGACUUGGAUGGAGCCGAAAAAAAUUUUAUUCUGUAAAGACUAUUACUUUUGACUGAUUCCUGUAAUUUUUAAAAAAAUAUUUUCAGAAAUUGAUCAACUGUAUUUCCUUUUCACAGUUGUCAUUCCAGGCUGUUUUGGAUUUAUGUUGCCCUUCUUAAAAGAUUUCCUUCUUCUGACCUCUCAGUCUAUGUAUGUUUAUGAGUGUACAAGCUGGAAACAUUGUCUGUAAUUAAAGUCCCUUUUUAAGGCA